rnacentral:rRNA from 1 species
UCCGGAGGGAGCUAUCGUUGUUCGGAAUUACUGGGCGUAAAGCGCACGUAGGCGGCUUUUUAAGUCAGGGGUGAAAUCCCGGGGCUCAACCUCGGAACUGCCCUUGAAACUGGGAAGCUAGAAUCUUGGAGAGGCGAGUGGAAUUCCGAGUGUAGAGGUGAAAUUCGUAGAUAUUCGGAAGAACACCAGUGGCGAAGGCGACUCGCUGGACAAGUAUUGACGCUGAGGUGCGAAAGCGUGGGGAGCAAACAGG